rnacentral:rRNA from 1 species
UACGUAGGGUGCAAGCGUUGUCCGGAAUUAUUGGGCGUAAAGAGCUCGUAGGCGGUUUGUCGCGUCGGCUGUGAAAACCUGGGGCUCAACCUGGGAACUGCAUUUGUGUACUGUAGAGCUGGAGUGCGGGCAGAGGGGGGAUGGAAUUCCGCGUGUAGCAGUGAAAUGCGUAGAUAUGCGGAGGAACACCGAUGGCGAAGGCAACUCCCCUGGGCCUGCACUGACGCUCAUGCACGAAAGCGUGGGGAGCAAACAGG